GGAACUCGGCAAAUCUCUGCCCCGCCUGUUUACCAAAAACAUCGCCUCUUGAUUUACAUAAGAGGUCCAGCCUGCCCAGUGAUAAAUUUAACGGCCGCGACAUCCUAACCGUGCAAAGGUAGCGUAAUCACUUGUCUCUUAAUUGGGGACUCGAAUCAACGGCACCACGAGGGCCGCACUGUCUCCUUUCUCCAAUCAGUGAAACUGAUCUCCCCGUGAAAAAGCGGGGAUGAAACUAUAAGACGAGAAGACCCCAUGGAGCUUCAAACUAACAGCAACUCAGCCAGAUUUCUCCCUCAUAGCACACAAGAUAUGCAUGUUACUUUUGGGUUGGGGCGACCACGGAGCACAAACUAACCUCCAUGACGUAAAGAACUAAAUCUUUAUCCCAGAGCCACACCUCCAAGAAUCAGUAUACUGACGAAAUGACCCGACCAGAUCAACGAACCAAGUUACCCUGGGGAUAACAGCGCAAUCUACUUCAAGAGCCCAUAUCAACAAGUAGGCUUACGACCUCGAUGUUGGAUCAGGGUAUCCCAGGGG
rnacentral:rRNA from 1 species